AGAGUUUGAUCAUGGCUCAGAGCGAACGCUGGCGGCAGGCUUAACACAUGCAAGUCGAACGCCUGUAGCAAUACAGGAGUGGCAGACGGGUGAGUAACACGUGGGAACGUGCCCUUCGGUUCGGAAUAACUCAGGGAAACUUGAGCUAAUACCGGAUACGUCCGCGAGGAGAAAGAUUUAUCGCCGGAGGAUCGGCCCGC
rnacentral:rRNA from 1 species